rnacentral:lncRNA from 1 species
UUUUAAGGUUGAUGAUGAAACAAAUCAUAGGUCUGGGAAGCGAGGGAGCCUGAAAGUUGAGGAGCUCUGAAAGUCUUACUUCCUCUGGGGAGGAUAAAAGCUGCGGUUCUUUUGUGCGAUAAUGACAGACUGUCAGUGUCUGCCUGUUUGCCUGACUCCCAGUCACUGAAUAAAUGCUGGUAAUUGCUAAUUGCUUUCAGAAGAAAAACUGACUCAUAGCCUGAGAGUGACUUGCAUAUCAAUGUUUCAGAGCCUCUCUGCUGGUUUUAUCUCAGGGCAGGGAACAGGGCACUGGAGUCUGCGCCCUUGCAUCGCUUGCUUCCCCAACAGUUUUGAGUUCGACUGAUUGUCCAGUGAUUUUUGCCAGGAGAUAACAUCACUGGCAGGUUUCAAAGGUGGGCAAUGGGAGUAAUGCUCCUGGUUUCUGGUCACCUGGGCUGCAGAUCAGAUCAGAUCUCCAGUUGCAUACACAGCAGAGAAGAUGAAAGGCAUUCAAUCAUUUCUAGCGAGUUAGUUGCAAGUUACCACACUUGCCAGGGGCUUGUGUCUUUCACAAUGAUUGCUUCUCUGAAGAUACAUCAGCCAAGUACAGAUUGAUGGCUCUGAGUUUACCAGCUGCAGCCACAGCCAAGCUCUUUCUUUCUUCGUGGUAACUAAACCUCAGAGGGUAUCACCAGGGACCUUGCAUUAGGGGCCCCAUCUGUCUGACAUGCCAGGGACAUCGGUGAGGGUUGGAGUAUAGACAAGGCACCACUCAAAAGGCCAUUGCUAUUGCUUGUUCUGUCCUUGGGACACUGCAGCCAUUUAGAUCUGUGUAUCUUCUGGAUUGUAAUAUGCUCCAGGUUGAAAGAAAUUUUAAAGGCAAGAGAUUGCAC